rnacentral:rRNA from 1 species
CCUACGGGUGGCAGCAGUGGGGAAUUUUCCGCAAUGGGCGCAAGCCUGACGGAGCAAGACCGCGUGGGGGAGGAAGGUCUGUGGAUUGUAAACCCCUUUUGACUGGGAAGAACACCAUGACGGUACCAGUCGAAUCAGCCUCGGCUAACUCCGUGCCAGCAGCCGCGGUAAUACGGAGGAGGCAAGCGUUAUCCGGAUUUAUUGGGCGUAAAGCGUCCGCAGGUGGUUCAUCAAGUCUGCUGUCAAAGCGCGGUGCUUAACACCGUAAGGGCAGU